UUGCUUUACGCCUUCGUCGUACUUGAACGGUCGUCAGUACUGGCACUGGCUACAUAGGACAUAAAUAACUACAAGGCUAGCCACCCGACAUCGAGUCCAAUAUCUCGCCUCAGAAUCGUUGCAGAGCAAUAAAUUUCACAUCGCCUAACAGGGGCGGAUCUAGGGGUCGUCAAACCAGUCACGCGACUAACGUAAAAAUUGCAAACUUAAUUAAUUAAAGUCUUAAAUAUUCGACCAAUAGUCC